CCCAAAAUCCUCCAUCUUGUUACUAAAUCCCAUAAACCUAAUUUUUCUACAUCUCUACAUAUUCCACCCAGUGAUAUAACUUAAAUUACACAGCAGCAAUCUCAGUGCUAUCACAUAAAAAGGGAAGCCGUUCCCAAGCCCUCAGGUCAAAUGCAGUGUGCUUUUGAAGAUCAUUGCCUGUCAGCACUGAAAGACUGAAAUUCUCUGAACCCAGGAUUCCAACAAUUACCUUCCAUUAUCAUCACAGUUAAAUAUUUAUUAUUCAUUUCUACUCUAAACUUUCUUCAAGCUUCAUAUGUUCAGACUUGGGAUGCUUCAGUUCGCUACAGCCAGGAGAUUCGAUGUGAUGUCUGUUCUGGCACAGAUGUCAGUGGAGGAUCCUGCACUUCACCAGAACAAUCAUUAGAGAUUGCCACCCAUCAAGAAUUUCAAGGUUGGGAAAGAAAUUCAUGCUUGAGGUCCAGCUCUCCCUUCAGUGAAUCCCAGGCAGCACUCCUUAAAUGAAAGCCCCACACUGCUGUUAAUAAGGGUAGUACCUGGGCCUCAGGACACAGAGCAUGGGAAGCUGUGACCACAGGUAGGAUGCUCAAACACACCACCAGGAUGUCCUCCAGGAUCCUAGAAAACUCAUUCCAGAGCCCAGUCUCAGAGAAGACUUGCUGGCAUGUGGUGUCACACCAACACUGUAAAACUAUAGGGGAAUUGCUUAUGAAAUGGAUUAUAAGUGCUUCAUUUCAAUGGAUACUUUUCUCACUAGCAGUAGUAGACAAAGAACAAGAAGAAAAAAUGCCAUGUGAAAAGAGAGAUGUAAGAUUGUAUGUACUCAAAAGUCAAGUGUGACAUGGAUGAGAGAAAACAUCUGAGAACAUAACGGUGUCCUAGCAGGACUGGGAGAGAAGCUUAAGAAAAGCUUCUCCCCAGCCACAUUUUUCUCCCUUGAGAAAAGCUUCUCCCCAGCCACAUUUCCAAGGCAGACCAUCUCCUUGAAAAAUGUUUGUGCAGGGCUGCAGAAGUGGAAGAAGCCCCCAGAUGCUAAUAGAUGUCUCUUGCUCCCAUGGAGAUGCCACCUGCGGUGCCUACCAUCUGGCUGGAUGACCCCCCCUUGUGGAUAGCUGGCACCAGAAGGGAUUUGGGAUGCCAUGAACUGCAACAUGCUAUCAUGCUUUUUAAAAUUAGCUCAGUGCCAGAUGCCAGAAGAGUCCCUUGCCAGGGUGUGUAUCAUCCCACUGAACUUCAGGACGCCCUGGUGCGACAUGAGGCGGGGCGACUGUGCUUUCCACCAUGCACGGUACAUGCACCUGGCUGUUGGCUUUCAGCCUGGGCCUGGUGCUGCUGCACUUCAGCAUCUGCAGCAGCCCUGAGGAGUGCAAGGUGUGCUUUGCUAAGCCACAGCUCAAACAAGGAUUGCAAACAAGUGUAACUUCACCCAAUUUCACCAUGGAUUUUUUUUGCAGAUUCCUCCCUGCCUUGGUGGCCAAACUGACCCCGGGUAUCCAAAUUUGGAUGGAGAUAGUCAUCAUGAGGACAUCCUGCUUCAGCCCUGUGCCUGACAAAAGCCCUGGUGGUGCCAGCAACAGAGAGAAACACAGGUCUUGAUAUUUCUUCAGGUAUGUGAACAGCACAAUGGAAAAUAUUUGUGUAUUAUUCUGAAAAUCCAAGCUGAUGCUUACUGAACAAGACCAAAAAAUUGCCUGAUUCUAUGCUGGGAGGAAGCAAAGUAACUGGGACUGGGCUGUCUUUAGUUUGUUUUACUUAAGCAUGAACAAUUCCACCUCAUUAGAUUACAGUGUAUAACGUGAACUAAUACAUAAAUUGAAAAAGUUAAUACACUUUCAUUCUAUAAAGACUGAUUGUUAUCAUAGCUAGGGAAGGGGAUUUUCUUAGCAGUGCUUAUCUCAGAAGCUAUUGGAAGGGAAUCCGGUAGUACACUUUAAUUGGCUACUUUUGCAUCAUAAGAUCUGUUAAUGAUUUGUUGGACAAUAAUUAAGCUGUUUAAUCUUCCCAUCGGCCCAUGCAGGAUGUAGUUAUGAAUAACAUCUUUUGUACACAACACAUGUGUGACUCUGAAAAGAUGAGAUCCACCUCCUUCUUUGGGAUGUUGCAAAGAAACAUGAGAAUCUUCAGAAACAGUCCUAGCUCCUGCAAUUCACAGCAGCUGGAUUAAUGUAUUACACAUCUUCUGGGGGAACAAAAGAUCUUUGUUAUGUUUAACAUCAGUAGAUUUUAGCUAGCACCUUUUUCAUCACUGGCACUACCCUGCUACUUUCUUAUAAAAAUACUUCUGAAAAAAAGGCUUUCUUGCAAAACAAAAUUUAUACUAUUGCUGUUUCAGUUGGGGCAAAUUCAUUAAGCCGGCAAAAACUUCAGUAGUAAUAAUUAUACGGUGACCUUUUCUUUUGAAAGCUGGAAAACUUGUAAUAAAUGAGUCAGUGAUUAGGGAAGGAGAAAAGCAGCUGAGUGCUGGCUGGAAGGACUGCAUUCGACACUCAGCUGUGCCAAAGUGUAAGGCGUUUACAUCAUGCCUUGGGGGGUGGGGGUGGUGGUGCUAAUUGUAUAGCUGUUGUUUGCAGAGUGCUCUAGCCGAGGCCUAAACACAGACUGAAGUCUCAGCACUUCUGUCCAGUUGCAGCUCAACCAAAGGAAGAUGUACUUCUGAAAUAAUCCACAUUUAUGAAAAACCAUAUUCUGAAAUUUCAUCCACUAAAUCCAGUGCCCCAAGUUAGUGGCCACUCUGGACUUACCUCAAUUUCCCAGCUCUCAAAGGGUGAACUAUUAUUGCUUUUGACUCAUGCUCUUGUUGAAAAUAUAAAUGUGUCCAUAUUUGUGAGUAUUCCACUGCUGUACCCUGAAUUUUACAGAAAAACACACAAGGAAAUUUAUAAUUCUGCUACCGCAGCAAAGUAUGACUAAUACAAAUUAAAAGGUGCAAGGGGACUGCACAGUGACCAGGGAGAACAUUACAGUUUGGAUGCCCAUUAAUUUGGUAUCUUCCUUCCUGUGACUAAACCAAGACAGGCAUGCAUCCUGUAGAGAAAAUACUAUGUCUUUAAUUAAAAUCAUAUCAGGUUAAUGCAUGAAGGAGAUAUUAAAUUAGCAUACACAGACUUAAUUAUACUGUACCCUAAUUUUUGUGUCUUUGACUUUACAACUUCUGUAAUGUUUUAGCAUGGUACCUUUAUGGGUGCCUGUGCACUGAUUAUAUCCUAAUUAACUUAUUCUGAAACAAUAAAAGACAGAUUUCCUCCAAUAAAAAAAAUCAUCAAAACAAACUGGAGUUUAAUACUUCAAACUACCUUGGAACAGAAAAGUGUUAGAGGAAUUAAAAAUGCCCUCCAAAUACGUAAGUGCUGUCACUUCAAAGUUACUUCAUCUUCUCCUUUCCCCUUCAAGCUCCAAGUAAAUUCUACCCCGGGGAAAACCCUGUGGAAGCUGGGCCUCAGGAAGAAGUUGAAAAUUAGGCUAUGAACUUAAAGGAAACCUCACAACGACUUUGAAGUGUGUAACCAUGACUCAUUGGAGUAAGCACCUGUAAUUCUCCCCUUGGGAAGUGGAUGGACUUCUAAACGUUGCUUGAGAGUGUGUGAUGAGGCCACUCCUAAGGGGAAGCAUAGUAUUAACAGGAAAAUAAUACUGCUAACGGGGAGAGCCUCUAACAGCCUUCUGUGGAGUAGCCAAUUUUGGGUGAUGGGACAUUUUUUAAAAUGAUGAAGCCAGAAGCACUUUUGCCAUGGUUAGUGAGUACAAGAGGUGGUUCUUUAUCUCCUGUGGUAGGCAACAUUUCAAUCCUGCACAGUAGCUACAGCUUUUCUUCAAAGAAAAAUUAUAAAUCAACUUUGUGUUUCUGUCAGCCUUCAGAUCCUUUACAGAAAAUCCAUUCUGUUUUGUGGCUGUUGCAAUCAGUUGCAAUCAGUAGUUUGUCCAGCAAGAAGCCAUAAACCACAUGACCAUGUCAUGGGGCACCUGUUCCACUGGACUUUCUUGGCAGGAGUCUGCCAUGUCACAUUUGCUGUGGUAGGCAUACUACUGAUAAUAUCAGUAAGAAGCAUGAGCUUCUUAUGUAUACAUUUUUAAUAACUUUACUUUUCUUUCUUUCCCCCGGUUCUUGCUGUUUCUUAGUCUACCACUCUUUCCUGAAAAUUAAUACUUGAGGGUGGCUCAAAUGAUAAGUCCACAUUCUCAUCGUCCCUCCAAGAUCUGCAGCUCAGUGAACUCUUAUCAAUUUUGCAAAAGGCAGCUGUAUUAAAGUGGCUUUGUUGCUCAGAUAAGGAAACAGCAAAUACAAGUGCAGCCAGAUGUACAAAUGAACCAUGUUCUGGAGCAAGAAGACUUAUGAAAGAACACAGGUCCCAGAAUAGGCAUCGGGGAGAAGAGUGAUGCAGGUGUGCUCAGACACAGGUGGCAAGCAAUUCUGCUCUUGGGAAGCAGGGAAAAGAUGGCACACUGUGCCAGUUUGAACAGCAGUGAGGUAAUUUUGUUCACUUGGAAAUAGAUGUCUUGGAAAAAAGUAGAGGCUGCGUGCCAAGAGGCUAUUGAUCCCGUUGCUAAAUAAAGUAGUAGCCCCACUUCAUUGCAGGUUCUUCUAGAAGUGCCUGCUAAACAUUGAUGAGGAAAGGACUGGAGCCAUCCCAGCACACCAGCCUGGCACGACACAUGCACAGCAGCAUGUGGAGGGGCUGACAGGCCAUGUUCAAUACCAGCCCCUGAGCCAGUGCCUCCCAAAUCACCCAUCGGAAGGGACAGAUGGAGCUGAAGAGCCAUCACACAGCAAUCCAAAGACACGCAGGGAAAAAUGGUGUGACGGGAAGGACUUGCCUGCAGUCUUCUUCCACAGGAAAGCAAGGAGGGCAGCUGGAGAGUUCCCAGCCAAGGAGCCUAAUUGCCAGAUGAGUGGGAUGGGGGCGGUCAGCAAAAAUGCUGCUGCUCCUUGUUGGGGUCAUAGGAACAAGAGAAUAAUGCUGUGGGGUGGCUCAAGCAGUGAGUCUGCAUUUUCAUCAUCUGUCCAAGAUUCUAUGGCUUGCCCUUGAUACCACAAAAUAGAACUAGCCACAAUGUUUCUGUCCCCUAUGCUAUGAAUAAUGUCCCUAAGUGACUUAGAUAAAAUGGCAACGGGAUUCCAUUCCAGCUUAAUUCCAAGUGAACAUGUCAAGAAAGGGAAUGAUGAAAUACUAACAGGAUGCCAAGGUCACCUUCUGGAUAGAAACCUUGAGCCAAGGAGGAUGGUACAAUUGUUGGAGGAGUGAACAUUGCUCAAAGAAUCAACUGUUAGAAGCACAAACAGUGCAAAAUGGGUAAGUCAUGGAGGAACUUACUGCAAACAUCUUACAGUUCUGAAAACCAACAAUACUUCUAUAGCCAUCAUCCACCUGCUUCUUUAUUGAUCUAGACAUCCUCGAGUCAGUCUUGCUACAGUUUCUAAUCUAUGAUGCCAAGUAAGAGGAGGGUUUCACAGAGGUGUUGGAGGGGCUCGGAUGGCUGGCGCUAUCUUGGUAGUCAAGAGGUAUCCUUUAUCUGUCAUGAAUGGCUUUGAGGAUCUGAGGAACAAAGGUCCUGCUCCUUGCUCUUAGCUGGUGUCCUUUGGUCAUGCUUACUCCACCAUGAAUACUGAUGCUUACUUAAGCCUGACUAUGCAGUACAUGACAUAAACCAUAUACAUUUAAAGAAAGUUAAUACCAUACUAUUUAGAAAAUCAAUACACUUUCAUAGUAUAAAGAUUAUUUGGUACAAUAGUUAAUGAAUGAGAUUUUCCUGAUGUGGGCUGAGGCUAUUAGUUGGGAGCCAGAGGCCUAGCAGGAGAGAGGCAAAGCCAAAAAUCCCCUCUGCUGUCCAGCUGCAGCCCAAAAAGCAGCUGGACAUGGGUAUCUCCCCAUUGGAUUGACAGGCUUUCCGCUUCUCAGAGCGGUUUGUUUACAGCUGUGUCUAAAAUAAACGUUGCCUAAUUUUUUUUUUCCGCUCCUGUUA